CCUUUUGAGCACAUUUUUUACCGGAGCGAGUUGAGCGUUAUGGCCGCGGUUGGUGUUAAUUUUAAUCAUUUGUGCGUCGAAAUGAGCACGGAAGGACAUUUUAAGACAAAGUGCGACUCGUAGGAAGAUUUACUUAAGAAGCUGAGCUGAUUGGAAUCCGUUUAUGACCAAAAUUUACCGCAAGAUGAAGAGUAAAUUAGCCGGCGUCCACCCCGCGCCGAGAGAGCGCAGACCUCUUUCAUCAGGCUCAUCAUUCGAUGGCAGCGCGACAGCCAAUUUUUCCUCUCACCAUCUCUGUCAAAUAUGCAGUCGCGGACUUAUUUUAUUUUUGGAAAUUAAUUUCAGUGCGAUGAGGAGAUUCAAGUUCUCAACCGAGAAAAUCCAGAAAAGAUAUUGACUGAAGUUGCCUUAAACCACCUAAUGCAGUUAUAAAGAUUUUGCAAAUCCUGUACUCUUGGACCAUGAGGAGCAAAGGAACUAUUGAAGAAAGAGUGUUAAAUCUCAUGUAAAAUAUUUAAAGAUUGAUAUUAUUCCUAUUAAAAAUAAAUAUAAAAUACUAAAAUAUUGCUAUAUUAUUUAUUAAAUAAAUAUGCAAAUCCCAAAUGCUGGGCGGCAUGCAUGCCAGGCCUACCGAACGGCAUGCAUGCCAGGCCCGGUACGGCAUGCAUGCCAGGCCAGGUACGGC